rnacentral:misc_RNA from 1 species
CAAGUCGUAACAAGGUAUCCGUAGGUGAACCUGCGGAUGGAUCAUUACCAAAGGAAUCUUUCCUAUACGUCAUGUGAACUGUUUUGAAUGACAGUCAGUGCUGGUGUGUUUUGCAAGAGACGCGCGAGUGCUGGCUGUAUCGUACUCUACGUACAUCUGCUCUUGUCAGACUGAAGUCUACCAUAGUAUAACUAUAUUGACAACUUUUAGCAACGGAUCUCUUGGCUCUC